CAAUAGCGUAUAUUAAAGUUGUUGCAGUUAAAAAGCUCGUAGUUGGAUUUCUGGUGGGAGCGAUCGGUCUGGCGCUUAGCGCGAGUACUUGCAUCGUCUCCGGCCAUCCUUGGGGAGAGUCUGUCUGGCAUUAAGUUGUCGGGCAGAGGAUCCUCAUCGUUUACUGUGAAAAAAUUAGAGUGUUCAAAGCAGGCUUAUGCCGUUGAAUAUAUUAGCAUGGAAUAAUAAGAUAGGACUUUGGUACUAUUUUGUUGGUUUGCGCACCAAAGUAAUGAUUAAUAGGGACAGUUGGGGGUAUUCGUAUUACGUUGUCAGAGGUGAAAUUCUUGGAUUUACGGAAGACGAACUACUGCGAAAGCAUUUACCAAGGAUGUUUUCAUUAA
rnacentral:rRNA from 1 species